rnacentral:rRNA from 1 species
GUGGGGAAUAUUGGACAAUGGGCGAAAGCCUGAUCCAGCCAUGCCGCGUGUGUGAAGAAGGUCUUCGGAUUGUAAAGCACUUUAAGUUGGGAGGAAGGGCAGUAAGUUAAUACCUUGCUGUUUUGACGUUACCGACAGAAUAAGCACCGGCUAACUUCGUACCAGCAGCCGCGGUAAUACGAAGGGUGCAAGCGUUAAUCGGAAUUACUGGGCGUAAAGCGCGCGUAGGUGGUUCAGCAAGUUGAAGGUGAAAUCCCCGGGCUCAACCUGGGAACUGCCUCCAAAACUACUGAGCUAGAGUACGGUAGAGGGUAGUGGAAUUUCCUGUGUAGCGGUGAAAUGCGUAGAUAUAGGAAGGAACACCAGUGGCGAAGGCGACUACCUGGACUGAUACUGACACUGAGGUGCGAAAGCGUGGGGAGCAAACAGGAUUAGAUACCCUAGUAGUCC